UAUGCCAUGGACCGGGGAAGGAUGAGAAGCUUCGACGAAGGUUCGCGUCGAGCGACAGCGAGACAACGUUGCCGCAGGCAACGGCCC
rnacentral:sRNA from 1 species